CCUACGGGAGGCAGCAGUGGGGAAUUUUCCGCAAUGGGCGAAAGCCUGACGGAGCAAUACCGCGUGAGGGAGGAAGGCUCUUGGGUUGUAAACCUCUUUUCUCAGGGAAGAUAAUGACGGUACCUGAGGAAUAAGCAUCGGCUAACUCCGUGCCAGCAGCCGCGGUAAUACGGAGGAUGCAAGCGUUAUCCGGAAUGAUUGGGCGUAAAGCGUCCGCAGGUGGUUUUGAAAGUCUGCUGUUAAAGCGUGCGGCUUAACCGCAUAAGGGCAGUGGAAACUAUGAGACUAGAGUGCGUUAGGGGCAGAGGGAAUUCCCAGUGUAGCGGUGAAAUGCGUAGAGAUUGGGAAGAACACCGGUGGCGAAGGCGCUCUGCUAUACCGUAACUGACACUGAGGGACGAAAGCUAGGGGAGCGAAUGGGAUUAGAUACCCCAGUAGUCCUAGCCGUAAACGAUGGAUACUAGGCGUUGUCUGUAUCGACCCGGACAGUGCCGUAGCUAACGCGUUAAGUAUCCCGCCUGGGGAGUACGCNGCGACUGUAGAACUACAAGAAGUAGACGGCGUGAGACGUACGCCGACGACGACGACGAGGGAGUAGG
rnacentral:rRNA from 1 species